AUGUUCGAAAAGUUCAACAUGUUUCUAGAGAUAUUAAAGUCUUAAACAGUGUGAAUUUAGAAAAAUGAAGUGGGAAAAUUUUGAAGCUAUGAAUAAUUGACGAGCAGUUGAAGAUCAUGGAAAGGGAAAACUCAAUUUCUGCACGCUUGCAAAAUACUGACUCAAAGUACGAAAAUGCAAAACGCGAGGUUGCGUCUAGGAAAGAAAAACGUGUUUUGUCUCGAAUGAGGAAAAAUGUUGUUGAAAGAUGGUUUCUCCUAAAUCUUAAGUCUAAAUACUGUGAUGGUCAAGCGUUGCCAUCCAGACUUUCGAAGCAAAUUACUCGAGUAACAAAGGAUGUCAAUAAAGAUAUCGCAGCUUAUAACGAGGCAAAACAAUCACAUUCUAAUCAUACACAUACCACAUUAACUUUAGAUGCUGUUAAAGAUCCUGACAAUGAUUUUUGAUGUGAUCAUCUACCUGCACCUACUGAUGAAGAUUGUUGAGUUCAAUUUACUGUUAAACGGAAGGCUAUAGAUUUAUGCCAUUUGCUUGACCGAUCCAAGGAAGAGCAAAUCCUGUUGAAGUCAGAAGUGGAAAAUACGUGGAGUCACUACUUUCAACAGCACAGCAAGAUUACUGACUUUUUGAAUAGUUUUAUUAACCAUGAAAACGUACUUGAUGUUGAAUAUGGUGAAGCGAUAUUUUUACACAUGAAGAUCUUUCAAAUUGAAAGCAUUUUGAUAGAUCAAAAAAAAGGUUUUCUUUGUACAUCAACAAACACAAACCACAGUAUUUAUUUAAUGCGAAAGUUGACAUGCUUCAAAGUGAUCUGGUGUCGGCUCUGGAUGACGAAGAAGAAGUGGUUGUAUAUGAAGAAGUGGAUUCUGAAGACGGUCCAACAAGUGUAGACGACCAUGAAAGCACCAGCGAUGAUGUAUAACGGGGCUGUGCAGGCACUUUAAGAUCUUGAAAAUCCUUUAAUUAUAAAAUCAAUUUACGUAAAGAGGGCACUUGAAAAGUUGUUAAGAAAUCAUGUGUAAUAGCCGCCCAACGUACGUACGCUGGAUAAUAAAGGCGUUUAAAAAAGGUUUUUGUUAAAUAAAUACUUGGUGUAAGCUUGGCAACUCGAUGGAGCACAUGGCUUGCCGAUUUUGAAAUGUUUAUUAUCGCGAGUGGAAUUAAAGAUAAAAAGCAACAACGAGCAUUACUUCUCUGUCAAGAUGGUUCACACAUUCGUGAAAUAUUUCGACAGCUCAACGAUACAGGCGACAACAGCGAAUAUGAACUUGCUAAAACCAAAUUAACGGAAUAUUUUGAGCCUCAAAAAAAUCGGCGAUAUGAAGUGUACAAAUUUCGCGAAGCCAAACAAGAACAAUCAGAAACGUUAGACCAAUUUCAUACGCGAUUGAGAAAAUUAGGUCAAACAUGUGCUUUUGAUGAUGUUGACUUUGAGGUGGAACAACAGAUAAUCAUGGCGGGGUCUUCUUCGAGGAUACGAAAGAAAGCACUAAGAAAUCCCAAGUAUAAACUCAGGGAUAUUUUACUGGACGGCCGUAGAGAUGAACAAAGCACUUAUCAAGCACGGGAUAUCGAGUCAAAGGACAAAAAUAACGACAUGUUGGUCACCAUCCAAUCUGAAUCGACGCGAAAAUGUUAUUGUAGCGGUCCAUACCCACAUCAAGGCUACGAAAUCAUUUAUGUAGCUGGGAGAAUCAGUUUCAAAGCAAUGUAAAGUAUAAACUAUAGCAAAAGCAAGACGUGAAUGUCAUAGCAAUGAAAAUGACUCAUUACUGUCCAUAUCAGUAGUAAAGACACCAGUAGAAAUGACUCAUUUACUGUUCUUAUCAGUUGUAAAGACAUUAGCCAAAAAUGUCUGGUCAUGUCAUUCACUCCUGAACAUGGAUACAUACUUUAAAGGAGGGUGUUGCCCUAGAAAUAUAUUCCUAAUAUAAACUUUUUAUAGUUUGUACACAGUUUCUCCAAUGUUCAAAUAAUGUUUUGGUAAAAAAAUAAGAAGUUCCUUGCAAAACGAAAUGCAAACUGUUACACACAAUGCCAGAGCUCUUCAAGAUGCCCUGGGAAUAAAUGACAAAGCAGACUCUUUAUUUUGGGUAGGAGGCACAUAUUCAUAUAUUCAUGUUCUGCCACAUUAAGUUCCUUUGAAAUCCAUUGUUUUCAACAGAUUAAGACAUGCAUAUAUGAAUUUGUGCCCCCAAUUAACAAGUAUCCUGUGCCACUGCUGGGAUUUUUUAUAUGUUAGUAAAUCUGGCAGUCUAAAAUCUGGUAGUCGGACAGUUAAAUAUGUCAUUUUCACUUCUGCCAAUGCUAUGGCAAUGAUAUCCUGCUUUUUCUUCUUCAGGUUAUUUAUAACUUUUACUUUACACUGCCUUUAUAGUUUGAACUAUAAAAAGUAUUAUUGAAUCAAUCAUUAAAUGAAUAUUUUCUCCAAAGUAAAAAACAAACAAACAUUGUCACAACAAUUAAGGUGUUAGUCCCCAAAUCAAGUAUGAUUGAAUCAAAUAACAAUAACUGCAUGUCCAUUUCAAACAGCUACAAUUCUCAUAAAUAGAAAUUAUAUUUUGUAAAUUAUAUGAAUGAAUAGAAAUAAAUAUAGAAAAGACUGUAUUCAUACUUAUAUAGCAAAGCAAA